UAUCUCUGUAGAGUCUGCAUAUCAAUAAGCGGAGGAAAAGAAACUAACUAGGAUUCCCUUAGUAACGGCGAGUGAAGCGGGAAGAGCUCAAAUUUGAAAUCUUCAAGGUUUUACCUUGACGAAUUGUAGUUUAAAGAAGUGUUUUCUGUUGGUGUUUUGGUAAAAGUUCUUUGGAAUAGGACAUCAUAGAGGGUGAGAAUCCCGUAUUUGACCAUUACUUUCCAGCUUUGUGAUACACUUUCAAAGAGUCGGAUUGUUUGGGAAUGCAGUCCAAAAUGGGUGGUAAAUUUCAUCUAAAGCUAAAUAUUGGCGAGAGACCGAUAGCGAACAAGUACCGUGAGGGAAAGAUGAAAAGAACUUUGAAAAGAGAGUUAAACAGUACGUGAAAUUGUCAAAAGGGAAGCGUUUGACACCAGUGUUGUUUUUCCAAAAAUCAAUUACGAAUGGCUUGAUUUUGUGUUGUAUUGACCUUAUCAGCUUUCUGCACUUUUUUUGAGUCUUUCCUAAUGCACUUUUUGGUUAACAAGUCAACAUCAAUUUCUUUUGUUGUAAAAGAGUAUUCGGAAGGUGGCUUUCUUUUCGGAGAAAGUGUUUAUAGCCCUAUACUUCUACAAUCGGAGAGAUUGAGGUCUGCAGCGUAGAUCCUUCGGGGUUAGAUACACUUGUGCUAAGUUGUAGCUUUUCAUAGACGACUUGUUGACUAUGUUUAGUCAUGCGGCUUACUCGCUUAUGCUAUUUUACCUACGCUUAGGAUGUUGACGAGACUGUCGAUCUC
rnacentral:rRNA from 1 species